GAACAUGUGCUAAUGAGAUGAAGACACUGGACACUAGCAGCAGAGAGUUCAGGACUCGUCCUGUCUCUGCCACACAUUAACAUUGAGUGGCGGAAGUGGACUCCACCUUCUAAUACCUGAAUAGGUCCUUCAUAUCCAACUCCACUCUCUAAGCAGUACAUGGUUCACUAUAAACACGUCAGUCAGAAGGGACUCGUCUACACUGAGAAGACAUUAUCUUGCUAAUAGCAUCUAAGAAAGGAUUUUUUGGAACCCAGUUUGGCCUUGAACUCACUAUACAUCCAAGGCUGGGCAUGAACUCCUGAUCUUCCUGCCUCCACCUUCCAAGUGCUGGAAUUACAGACAUUGGUCACCGUGCCCAGUUUGCUUGUUAGCAUUUGAGUGAAUAAUGGAGUGAAUGAAUUGCAUAAGGGAACCAACAAGUCAGUGAACUUCCUUCCAGUCUGGAAGAAUUAACUCAAUCAAGGAAGGAAAGUUUAGCUUAUAUCAGGAAGAAGGAAUUUUAAUUUCAUUCAUUCAUCACCUCUUCACCAGUCA
rnacentral:lncRNA from 1 species